AGGAGGAACAACCGCAGUGGCGGGGCCAGCUCUGGAGCCCUGGAUUCAGCCCCCGCAGGAACUUCGGAGCUCUCCGUCUGCAGGGCCUGGAGGCUCCGGGGCGGG
rfam:Canis lupus familiaris chromosome 2, whole genome shotgun sequence.